rnacentral:rRNA from 1 species
CCUACGGGAGGCAGCAGUGGGGAAUAUUGCACAAUGGGCGAAACCCUGAUGCAGCAACGCCGCGUGAGCGAUGAAGGACUUCGGUUCGUAAAGCUCUAUCCUCAAGGAAGAUAAUGACGGUACUUGAGGAGGAAGCCCCGGCUAACUACGUGCCACCAGCCGCGGUAAUACUUCGGGGGCUGGCGUUAUCCGGAUUUACUGGGCGUAAAGGGUGCGUAGGUGGGUUCUUAAGUCGGAGGUGAUAGGCUACGGCUACACCGUAGUAAGCCUUUGAAACUGGGGAACUUGAGUGCAGGAGAGGAGAGUGGAAUUCUUAGUGUAGCGGUGAAAUGCGUAGAUAUUAGGAGGAACACCAGUUGCGAAGGCGGCUCUCUGGACUGUAACUGACACUGAGGCACGAAAGCGUGGGGAGCAAACAGGAUUAGAUACCCCAGUAGUC